UUUUUUUUUUCUUUUCUUUUCUUUUUUUUUUAGAUAAAACAUCAAAGGCAUGACCCAUGAAAGAAAUAAUUGACAUGCUGGACUUGAUUGAAAUUAAAAACUUGUGCUCUACAAAAGAUAAUAUUAAGAGAAUGAGAAGACAAGCCACAAACUUAGAGAAAAUAUUUGCAAAAGACACAUCUGAUAAAGGGCCAUUAUCUGAAAUAGAUAGAACCCUUAAAACUCAAGAAUAAGAAAACAGACAACUCAAUUAAAAAUGGGCUAAAGAUCUUAACGGAUGCUCUCCGAAGAGACAUAUAGGUGGCAAAUAAGCAUAUGAAAAGCUCCACAUCAUCAAUCAUCAGGGGGAAACAACGGUGAGAUAUCACUACACCCCUAUUAGAAUGGCCAAAAUACAGAAUGCUGACAACCCCAAAUGCUGACAAAGAUGUGGAGGAACUGGAAAUCUCAUUCAUUGCUGAUGGGAAUGCAAAAUGGUACCGUCAACGUUGGAAGACAGUUUGGCAGGCAGUUUUUUAUAAAUAUACUCUUAACAUACGACCCUUCAAUCUCACUUCUUGGUGUUUAUCAAGUUGAAAACUUAGUUCUACACAAAAACAGGUGCCCAGAUAUUUGUAGCAGAUUUAUUCAUCACUGCCAAAAUUGAAGUCAACCAUGAUGUCCUUCAGUAGGUGGAUGGAUAAAUAAACUAGGUUACACCAAACAAUGGAAUAUUAUUCAGUAGGAAAGAGCUACAAAGAGACACGAAGGAAUCUUAAGUGCCUUGUACUAAGUGAAAGAAGCAUAUCUGAAAAGGCUACAUACAUUUGAUUCCAAUUAUACGUCAUUCUGGAAAAGGCAAAACUACAGAGAGAGUAGCCAGUGGUUGCCAAGGGUUGAGGGCAGAAAAGAAGGAUUGAAUAGGGAGAAUACAGAGGAUUUUUAGGGCAGUGAAAACAUUCUGUAUGAUGCCAUUAUACAUUUGUCCAAAUCCACCAAGUACUGAAACUUGAUGUAAACUACAGACUUUGGGUGAUAAGGUUAUGUCCAUGUAGGCUCAUCAAUUGUAAAAAAUACUGGGGGCGGGGGAUAUUGAUAAAGGAGGAGGCUAUACCUGUAGAGGGCAGAGAGUAUAUGGGAAUUCUCUGUACCUUUACCCUCAGUUUUGCUGUGAACCUAAAACUGCUCUACUAAAAAAAUAAAGUUAGGAAGUCCCAUUGUGGCUCAGUGGUAAUGAACCUGACUAGCAUCCAUGAGGAUGCCAGUUUGACCCCUGGCCUUGCUCAUGGGUUAACAAUCUGGCGUAGCCAUGAGCUGUGGUGUAGGUUGCAGACGUGGCUCGGAUCCCGCGUUGCUGUGGCUCUG
ensembl:lncRNA